UCUCUGUCUUUUACUUUCUGUGUCUCUUCCACAACACAGACGCUUUCUCUCUCUCUCUCUCUCUCUCUUUUCCAAAACCCUUGAUUUGAAGCUCAAACACACAGACUCUCUCUUUCGCUCGCUCGAUUGUAGAUUUUUCAUUGUAUGUUCUUUAUCAAUGUUGAUCAAAGCUCAAACAACCUCGAUUUGAAGCUCAAACACACAGGACUCAACUGCAACGAUUUUCUCUAGCUGUUCUUCAUCAAUCAUAACGAUCUAUGUUAUUCAUUGAUCUUUGUUCUUCAUCGAUCUUGAGGCGAAUCAAACUUAAACUCGAUCUCUCUUGCUAUUAGCUCCCAUCUUGAGUUUGCAAAUCGCAAAUCCGAAAUCGAGUUUGAAUCAGAUCAGAUCUAUCAUGCUCUUUAUCUCAGAAUUGUCCACAAAUGGAGUGGGAUGAACAGUCUACCAACACGUGGUGAUAAACUGAGAUAUUUGACAACAUAAAAUUAUUUGUCGCAUCACUACCCAUGUGGAUAAGGGGGAAAAGGUAUAAAUCUACUAACAAGGUUUUCAAAUUUGUCAUCGGCCUUCAAGUAAUGGUCCAAUAAUAUUGAAACUCCUCAAAAUCCUGCAAUGCAAUCAAAUACAUACCAGUUCAAGUCAACAAGAAGAGAUUGGUAUAUUGUUCAAAAGAGAGUUCUAAAGAAGGAAUCAACUUACAGUACUUCAAGGUUUGUCAAAUUAUUAAGGGGUGGAAAAGUUGAUUGGGUUUACCAGUGCUCUCGAAAGCUCCCCAGUAAAAUUGUUUGAGGUAAAAAAUCUUCCAUUUUAAUAGUAUCACCCAUGUCAAUAAUUCAUUGAAAUGAGAUUGGGGAAGUUACUUCC